rnacentral:tRNA from 1 species
GCGCGGGUGGCGAAAUCGGUAGACGCACCAGGUUUAGGUCCUGACGGUGGCAACACUGUGGGGGUUCGAGUCCCCCCCCGCGCACCA